GUUAUUUUAUAGAAUAAUAGUAAAACCACGAGGAUUGGAGAACAGAAACCAAGAGUGAGAACAGAAGGAGGUGGGUCCAGGCACACAGGUAGCAGCCAAAGCAUAUAGGGGACAAGGAGUUUAAGUUUAAUUGUAGAUGCGAUGCGAAGCUAAUGGAAGGUUUUCAUUUUAUAAUAUAUUUAAUGAUCUGGCUUUUGUACAAAGUAUCAAUUAUAAGGCAACAAGAUAAAAUACUCUAGGUAAAAAAAACAGAAGAUUUUUUAACCAAGAACAUUUGGAUGAAAAUGGCACAUUGUGUUCAUAAUAGAGAUAUGUUUUAAAGGAAAGUUGGCAGUUUUCUGGUGAAUUGAAUAUAGACAUGAAGAGAGAGAGAACUCAAGGGAAAUUUCUAAAUUUUGUACUGAGCAAUUGAGUAAAUGGUAAAACUAUUAACUAAAAUGAGUAGGUUGAAAUAGAAACAAGUUCUAGAGAUGAAAUUAAAGGGAAAGCCAUAACUUUUUGAUUUACUAUUAAAUUUGAGUUGCCUAAUUGACAUACGAGAUGAGACCUUGAGUAGGAAUUGGGAUAUUUAUGUCUGGAGCUCAGGGGAGACUUCCGACCUGAAAUUUCUCAUUUGGGAGUCACCAGCAUAUAGAUACUAUCUUAAACAACGAGGCCGGAUGCAAAUAACCAGAAAGAGUGUUUAGACAGACAAGAGAGGAGGACGAAAGACAGUCCUGCAUCACUCAAAUAUUUAAAGUAUGGAAGAAAGUAAAAGCUGAAAAGGCAACCUAGAAGGACUGAUUGGUGUGAUAAGAGAAAAACCAAGAUUGUGGUAUGCUGGAAGACAAGUAAGAGACAUGCUUUAAGAAGAGAGAUAUGACAGAUGUUGCUGAAAAUUUAAGAUGAAGACGAGGAAUCUCUGAAUUUGGCAAACUCAAUAUUGGUGACCUUGCAAAGAGUGAUUUUAGAAGAAUACUGGGAAAAAUGCCUAAUUGGAAUGCAAUCAAGAGAAAAUGGGAGAGCCUGACUGACCGAGGAGAAAGAAAAUACCCAAUUCUAUCUACUUGAAGAUUUCAACAUGGGACAAAGGAAAUACCCAGCUUUGACACACUCAAGAUAUUCUGUCCCACUUGAAGUGGAAAAAGACUAAGAAGUUCAUAGUCCAGAGCCACAGGCUCACUAAAAUACUGACAUCUAAUUAUCGGAGGAUAUAAUGCUUCUUUCCUCUUUACUCCCCAAUCUUUAACACCACAUUACUGAAGGCCUAUUAUUUACAACAGCUCUUUUUACCCAAUAGAUCAUGCCUAGUUAUCAAGAAAAUGUUUCAAGACAUACUAAAAGUCAAAAAGCAAUGUUUGAAGAUAAAAAGCAAAGAUCUGAACCAGAUUCAGUUAUGGCAGGGGUGUUAGAAUUGUCUAACCAGGAAUUUGAAACAACUAUGAUUAAUGUGUGAAGGGUUCUAAUGGAGAAAAUAGACAGCAUGCAAGAACAGAUAGGCAGUGUAAACGGGAAAAUUAAAACUCUAAGAAAGAAAAAAAUGCUGAAGAUUAAAAUAAAAAAAAAUCAACAUUAGCAGACAUGAGGAAUGCCCUUAAUGGGCUUAUUUGAAGACUAGACAGUUAGAAAAAAACUUCCAAGCUUGGGGAUAUCUCUACAGAAACCUCCAGAACUAAAGACCAAAUAUAAGAUUGAAUGAAAAAAAGAACAGAACGCUUAAGGACUAUGGGGCAAAUACAAAAGUUGUAACAUGUGUAAUGAGAAUAGCAGAAGAAAAAACAAGAAAUAAAAGUUAAAUUAGCAAUAUUUGAAAAAUAAUGACUGAGAAUUUCUCCAAAGUAAUGUCAGACAUCAACCCACAGAUCCAGGAAGCUCACAGAAUACCAAGCAGGAUAAAUGCCAAAAAUCUACAUGCAGGCAUAUCAUUUUCAAGCGAUAGAGAAUAAAAGAUAAAGAAGAAGCCAGAAAGAAGCCAGAGGAACAAACCAUGUUAUCUGCAGAGAAAGAAAUACAAGAAUUACAUCCAACAAAGAAGAGAGUGGAGUUAAAUAUUGUGUUAAAAGAAACAAAUUGCCAACCUGCAGUUCUCUACCCUAUAGAAUUAUCCUUCAAAAGUGAAGAAAAAUAAGACAUUCUCUAACAAAAAUUGGCAGAAAUUUGUAGCCAGUAGACCUGCCUUAUAACAAAUGUUAAAAGUAAAAGAGUUCUCUAGAGAGGAGAAAAAAAUAUAGGUUAGAAACUCAGAUCCACGUAAAGAAAGAAAGGGCAUCACUGGAAGAAUAAUAAAUGCAAAAUAAAACUUGUAUUUUUCUUAAUUAAUUUAACAAAUAAUAGUUUAUUCAAAAUAAUAACAGCAACAAUGUAUUCAAUUAUGUAUUUUUAUAUAUGUGUAUGCUUAUGUAUAAGUUAAUUCAAUGGAAGAAAUAAAGCAAGGCACAAGGGGGAGAAAUUAGGAUUAUUUUAUUGUUAUAAACAAGUCAACUGCCUUUGAAGGGGUAUAGUGUUAUUUGAAAGUAGACUUGGGUUAGUUGUAAAAGUAUCACAAGCUGGAACCACCACUAAAAGAGGUAAGAAAAAUGUGUUCAGAAACAAGAGAAAAUUGAAUCAUAUAAAAUGCUAAAAUAAAAUGAAAACAGGCAGAAAAAAAUUGGAGGAUAAAAAUAGUAAUAA
rnacentral:lncRNA from 10 species